rnacentral:rRNA from 1 species
GACGAACGCUGGCGGCGUGCCUAACACAUGCAAGUCGAACGGAACUGUUUUGAAAGAUUUCUUCGGAAUGAAUUUGAUUUAGUUUAGUGGCGGACGGGUGAGUAACGCGUGAGUAACCUGCCUUCAAGAGGGGGAUAACAUUCUGAAAAGAAUGCUAAUACCGCAUGAUAUAUCGGAACCACAUGGUUCUGAUAUCAAAGAUUUUAUCGCUUGAAGAUGGACUCGCGUCCGAUUAGUUAGUUGGUGAGGUAACGGCUCACCAAGACCGCGAUCGGUAGCCGGACUGAGAGGUUGAACGGCCACAUUGGGACUGAGACACGGCCCAGACUCCUACGGGAGGCAGCAGUGGGGGAUAUUGCGCAAUGGGGGCAACCCUGACGCAGCAACGCCGCGUGAAGGAUGAAGGUUUUCGGAUUGUAAACUUCUUUUAUUAAGGACGAAAAAUGACGGUACUUAAUGAAUAAGCUCCGGCUAACUACGUGCCAGCAGCCGCGGUAAUACGUAGGGAGCAAGCGUUGUCCGGAUUUACUGGGUGUAAAGGGUGCGUAGGCGGCUUUGCAAGUCAGAUGUGAAAUCUAUGGGCUCAACCCAUAAACUGCAUUUGAAACUGUAGAGCUUGAGUGAAGUAGAGGCAGGCGGAAUUCCCCGUGUAGCGGUGAAAUGCGUAGAGAUGGGGAGGAACGCCAGUGGCGAAGGCGGCCUGCUGGGCUUUAACUGACGCUGAGGCACGAAAGCGUGGGUAGCAAA